GGCUCAGGAUGAACGCUAGCUACAGGGCUUAACACAUGCAAGUCGAGGGGAAACGACAUCGAAAGCUUGCUUUUGAUGGGCGUCGACCGGCGCACGGGUGAGUAACGCGUAUCCAACCUGCCCAUCACUUGGGGAUAACCUUGCGAAAGUAAGACUAAUACCCAAUGAUAUCUCUAGAAGACAUCUGAAGGAGAUUAAAGAUUUAUCGGUGAUGGAUGGGGAUGCGUCUGAUUAGCUUGUUGGCGGGGUAACGGCCCACCAAGGCAACGAUCAGUAGGGGUUCUGAGAGGAAGGUCCCCCACAUUGGAACUGAGACACGGUCCAAACUCCUACGGGAGGCAGCAGUGAGGAAUAUUGGUCAAUGGACGAGAGUCUGAACCAGCCAAGUAGCGUGCAGGAUGACGGCCCUAUGGGUUGUAAACUGCUUUUAUAAGGGAAUAAAGUGAGCCUCGUGAGGCUUUUUGCAUGUACCUUAUGAAUAAGGACCGGCUAAUUCCGUG
rnacentral:rRNA from 1 species